rnacentral:rRNA from 1 species
UACAGAGGGCCCAAGCGUUGUUCGGAUUCACUGGGCGUAAAGGGUGCGUAGGCGGUCGGGAAAGUCUGAUGUGAAAUCUCACAGCUUAACUGUGAAACUGCAUUGGAUACUAUCCGGCUCGAGGAAUGGAGGGGAGACUGGAAUACUUGGUGUAGCAGUGAAAUGCGUAGAUAUCAAGUGGAACACCAGUGGCGAAGGCGGCAUCCUGGACCGAGAUUGACGCUGAGGCGCGAAAGCCAGGGGAGCAAACGGG